CAUACUAAAACAUUGAAAAGGAAAACAUAGUAUGUUCUAAGUAGGCUAGGUCAUUGGCCAUGACUCUCUCUUCUCUUCGGCAAAUCCACUCGAUAUUAAAUUAAUAGACGAAGAAGCCAUCUUUGAUUAUCAUCAUCCAUCCAUCCCUUUCUGAAUUCUGAUUAUCAUCUCUCUGUCUAGUGACGAUGGGAGCAGCUCGCUCAGUGUUUUCAUUAAGCCUUAUUCCAUCAUCUACUCAUGGAAUCAAUCGAAAUCAUCUCAACCUUUUCUCCUAAACCCAAACAGGAGCUCCUCCUAGAUUUCGUGCUCUUCCUUCCGAAAAGUUUCGAUUUUUUUUUUUUUAAUAUGGGUCAAUGGCGAAUUUAGCUAAAGGAGAAAUUGGCGGUGGAUAAUGGCUCCACUGGUGAAAUCUUUUCUUCUUCUGCGUUGUUUCCCGAAUCUCCAAACAGGGAUGUAAAUAGAAUAGUCGCUGCUGCUUCUGUAACCGCCGCUUUGGCCUUGUUCCUGUCGACGAGGCUUGAUUUCAGCGUUGCCUUACGAGGAGGCUUUGUCGAAUGGAAAGCCGACAGUGGUGGAGUUCUAUGCUGAUUGGUGUGAGGUUUGUAGAGAACUAGCCCCUGAUGUUUACAAAAUUCAAGUAAUGCUUGCUCUUUUAUGCCUGUGUUUGAUUUGUUGGUGUUGAGUGUGAACCAUAACUUUGACAUGAGGCAUUAGGUGAAUGAUCAGACGAGUCUUAGCGAACAAACCUGGUGUUAAUUGAUUUCCGGUUUAUUGGGUCAAUGCCGGUUUGAUCUAAGAGUCUAAUUAAUAGUCCGGUUAAGUGUAAACCCUCAGUGAUAUAUAAGGGGGUAAACAAGAGCUGAGAUGUUAUCGUUGUUCUCAUUCAUCUAAGAGUCAACAACGUGUAUCGAGCUCAGGAGUGUUGAGCUUCAUUGUUGUUCUAGUGAAUUGCUGGAUCGAGUUCUGGCCCCAGUGAUUAGUUCUCCAUAUCGGAGAGAUACACUGGAUAAACAAUCUCUGUGUAGUUAUCUUUCUUGCUCUGAAUCUUGAUUAGGUUUAACAGGAGUUACAGAGAGGGUGAGAUCUGAGAUCGAUCGAUAGAUUGGUGAACUUGGAGCGUUAGAUCGUGAUUCAAGUUGCAACAGUUGGUCACAAUCUUCUUGAAGAAAAUUGAAGCCUCUGUAUAUAAAAGAUAUGAACAACGAGCUUUCUAGUUGCAUCAUCUUGUGUUAGUGUUAUGGAAUAGAAAACUUGUUUGGGAAAGGAAGACGAGCAAGUUUAUGUUGCAUUUGUUUAAUUGAUUAGGGAAACUUCUCUAGUAAUGGAUUUGGCUAUUGUUGUAGGCUAAUGAACAACAAGCUAGAGCUUGAAUUCAAGAUUCUGGUUGAAGAAUCAGAUCCGUCUUGUGUUGUUGGUUUUAAAAGGACAUGGGAACAUGUUUAGGAAUGGAUUUUGGAACUUUUAGAUA